UUGGCCAGUCGCCAGCACGUGACUGCCGGAGGAGGCCGCCCCGCCACCUGGGGGCGGGGCUCAGGACUGGCCAGCGGCUAGCGAGUCAACUUUUAUGAUCCUACUCCGCCCCAGGCGGCGCCACUACUUUGGAAGAACCUCAAUGAAAGCUGCUCUCUGCAGAGUCCCUUGCUUUCAGGACUUUACUACGUUCUGCUGCAUUCGUUUAAGAGAGAAAGAGAAGAAAAGUGAGAAAGCAAGAUACCAUGUCCGGGACUCAAAAAUGCAGUUGGCCACGUGAGGGUCUGGAGUCUAAACCAGCAUGCUCCCCGCUGGCCCCACCAAGAUCCCUUUUUGAAGGAAGAGCAGAGUGUCUGAGAUGAGGCCUCCCCAACUUUGAGAAUAUAGUAAUAAAAAAGUACAUUUCUCCUAUAUCGACAACACAAAAUACUUGUGAUCUCAGAUAUGUGUGGAAUUUUCCACCCAACAGACACUAGCUGUGUCCCCUGAUUCAAUUAAAUUCUGAUGCUGUCUACUAAAGGCAGUGUUAGACCCCACAGGUCAAGGGGGGGCUCAAUCUCACAAGAUUGAGCUCCCUUUCACACUUCAAAUGCCAAUUGCAAACUCCAGGUUGUUUUUACCUGUUUCUGACCAACUAACUAUAUUUCAGGCUUCCCAAGGCCUGCUCCUUUGGUUCAAUUAAUUUGCUAGAACAGCUCACAAAACCCAGAGAAACACAUUUGCCACUCUAUUGUAAAGAAUAAUACAAAAGAUAUCGUUCUAAAAGUAAAGUACAAGUAAAGGGGU